AACAACAAGCCCUCCGACAAACACACACAAACACACCCCACUGCCUCGUCCACUCCCCAUCCCCAUCCAUCUAGGUGGCCCAUCAAGAUAUUUUGCUGAAGACCACCUCGGCCUCCCAAAGUGCUGGGAUUACAGGCGUGAGCCACCGUGCCUGGCCUUAAAAGUUUUUUAAAAAGAAGCAGCUCACGCUAAUGCAGUUCCCUAGGAAGGUGAUGGGUUGCCCCUGAAGACCAGCUCCAGAGCUUCUUCGGGAAGUGCAUGCCCAUCUCAAAAAAAAUAUAUAUAUAUCAACAUACAGUGUUUAGAUUCUUGGAAGGAGAGAUCCAUGAGUGAGUAGAAAUUGUGGAGAAGAGAAGGUCAGGAAGAUGUGGGCAGACCAGCAAAGGGCUGGAGCAGGAGCGGUGGGAGGAGGAGGAGGAUCAGGAGAGGGGACUGCAGUGUCCUGGAAGCAGGUGAUCACUUGAGUCAGUGCUGCUGGGAGGAUGAGUGAAAGGGGGACUGAGAAUUGACCACUGGGUUUAUUAACAGAGAGGUCUUUGGUGACCCUGACAAGGGCAAAUUCUGCAGGGAAGUUGGAAGAAAAGCCUGUUGGGAAGGGGCUAAGUGAUGGUGAGAAGUGAAACUGGAGAGCAAAAGUGCAGAGAAUCAUUCCAAGCUGUCACCUCCACCUUCUACAUAUUAUAUCUCCUGCUUCAUUAGAUUCCUCCCAAGCUGUCACCUCCACCUUCUACAUAUUAUAUCUCCUGCUUCAUUAGAUUCCUCAGCAGUGAACAUGUCUCAUUGUGUUUCAAAGAACAAGUAGUUG
rnacentral:lncRNA from 10 species